AGGACGAACGCUGGCGGCGUGCUUAACACAUGCAAGUGGAGCGACGAACCAGGGCUUGCCCUGGGGCAGAGCCGCGAACGGGUGAGUAACACGUGGGUAACGUGCCCCGAUGACUGGGACAACCCGGGGGAAACCCGGGCUAAUACCGGAUAUGCCCCCUCACGCGAGUGAGGUGUGUAAAGGAAGCUUCGGCCCCCGCAUCGGGAUCGGCCCGCGGCCCAUUAGCUUGUUGGUGAGGUAACGGCUCACCAAGGCUGCGAGUGGGUAGCUGGUCUGAGAGGACGAUCAGCCACACGUGGGACUGAGACCACGGCCCAGACCUCCGUACGGGAGCAGCGAGGUGGGAACUUCGUUGCGCAAGUCGACGACGAAAGCGUAGACGCAGCGAACGCCGGUCGGAGGGGGGAACGAAGGGUCCGUUU
rnacentral:rRNA from 1 species